rnacentral:rRNA from 1 species
UACGAAGGGGGCUAGCGUUGCUCGGAAUUACUGGGCGUAAAGGGCGCGUAGGCGGACAGUUAAGUCAGAGGUGAAAGCCCAGGGCUCAACCCUGGAAUAGCCUUUGAUACUGGCUGUCUUGAGUGCGGGAGAGGUGUGUGGAACUCCGAGUGUAGAGGUGAAAUUCGUAGAUAUCCGGAAGAACACCAGUGGCGAAGGCGACACACUGGCCCGUAACUGACGCUGAGGCGCGAAAGCGUGGGGAGCAAACAGG